GACGUAGGGUGCGAGCGUUGUCCGGAUUUACUGGGCGUAAAGCGCGCGUAGGCGGCUCGUUAAGUGUGAAGUGAAAUCCCGGGGCUCAACUCCGGAACCGCUUCGCAUACUGGCGGGCUCGAGGGAUGCAGAGGUCUGUGGAAUUCCCGGUGUAACGGUGAAAUGCGUAGAUAUCAAGUGGAACACCAGUGGCGAAGGCGAGUCCCUGGACGACUCCUGACACUGAGGCACGAAAGCUAGGGGAGCAAACAGG
rnacentral:rRNA from 1 species